UAGGGAAUCUUCGGCAAUGGGGGCAACCCUGACCGAGCAACGCCGCGUGAGUGAAGAAGGUUUUCGGAUCGUAAAGCUCUGUUGUAAGUCAAGAACGGGUGUGAGAGUGGAAAGUUCACACUGUGACGGUAGCUUACCAGAAAGGGACGGCUAACUACGUGCCAGCAGCCGCGGUAAUACGUAGGUCCCGAGCGUUGUCCGGAUUUAUUGGGCGUAAAGCGAGCGCAGGCGGUUUGAUAAGUCUGAAGUUAAAGGCUGUGGCUCAACCAUAGUUCGCUUUGGAAACUGUCAAACUUGAGUGCAGAAGGGGAGAGUGGAAUUCCAUGUGUAGCGGUGAAAUGCGUAGAUAUAUGGAGGAACACCGGUGGCGAAAGCGGCUCUCUGGUCUGUAACUGACGCUGAGGCUCGAAAGCGUGGGGAGCGAACAGGAUUAGAUACCCUGGUAGUCCACGCCGUAAACGAUGAGUGCUAGGUGUUGGAUCCUUUCCGGGACUCAGUGCCGCAGCUAACGCAUUAAGCACUCCGCCUGGGGAGUACGACCGCAAGGUUGAAAC
rnacentral:rRNA from 1 species